rnacentral:rRNA from 1 species
UGCUCAGUGAUUUUUUUAACAGCCGCAGUACAUUGACUGUGCUAAGGUAGCAUAAUAAUUUGGCCUUUAAUUGGGGUCUGGAAUGAAAGGGAAAACAUGGAAGUACUGUCUAUAUAUAUUUUUUUAAAAAUUACUAACGGAGUGAAAAUUCUUCGAAGGGAAAAAAAGACGAGAAGACCCUAAGAAUUUUUAGCAAAUUAUAUAAUAUAUAGGGGUUUUUGUUGGGGCGACAAAUUUUCACAAAACAAAAUUAUUUUUAUUCUCAAGAAUUUUUUAAGGAGGGGUAAAUUACCUUAGGGAUAACAGCAUAAUAUUUUAUGAUUGUGACCUCGAUGUUGGACUAGGAAAGCGCAUUACUAGCCGUAAUGUUUAUAGGUUCUGUUCGAACUUUUUUCUCCUACGUGAUCUGAGUUCA